rnacentral:rRNA from 1 species
AGAGCGAACGCUAGCGGCGGGCCUAACACAUGCAAGUCGAGCGGGGAACUUCGGUUCCCAGCGGCGGACGGGUGAGUAACACGUAGGUAACGUAUCUUCUGGUGGGGGAACAACCGCGGGAAACCGCGGCUAAUUCCGCAUAUGUCCUUCGGGAUGAAAGCCUUCGGGCGCCAGUCGAGCGGGCCUGCGGCCGAUUAUUUAUUCCUAGUUGGUAGGGUAACGGCCUACCAAGGGUACGAUCGGUAGCUGGUCUGAGAGGAUGAUCAGCCACACUGGAACUGAGACACGGUCCAGACUCCUACGGGAGCAGCAGUGGGGAAUAUUGCGCAAUGGGCGAAAGCCUGACGCAGCCACGCCGCGUGAGUGAUGAAGGCCUUCGGGGUUGAAAGUCUCUGUCGGGAGGGAAGGAAAGGCCGCGAAGGCCUUGACGGUACCUCGCAAGAAAGCACCGCUAACUCUCGUG